rnacentral:rRNA from 1 species
UAUUUAUUAGAUAAAAAACCAACGCCCUUCGGGGCUCCUUGGUGAAUCAUAAUAACUUAACGAAUCGCAUGGCCUUGCGCCGGCGAUGGUUCAUUCAAAUUUCUGCCCUAUCAACUUUCGAUGGUAGGAUAGUGGCCUACCAUGGUGGCAACGGAUAACGGGGAAUUAGGGUUCGAUUCCGGAGAGGGAGCCUGAGAAACGGCUACCACAUCCAAGGAAGGCAGCAGGCGCGCAAAUUACCCAAUCCCGAUACGGGGAGGUAGUGACAAUAAAUACUGGUACGGGGCUCUUUUGGGUCUCGUAAUUGGAAUGAGAACAAUUUAAAUCCCUUAACGAGGAACAAUUGGAGGGCAAGUCUGGUGCCAGCAGCCGCGGUAAUUCCAGCUCCAAUAGCGUAUAUUAAAGUUGUUGCAGUUAAAGAGCUCGUAGUUGAACCUUGGGUCUGGCUGGCCGGUCCGCCUCACCGCGAGUACUGGUCCGGCUGGACCUUUCCUUCUGGGGAACCUCAUGGCCUUCACUGGCUGUGGGGGGAACCAGGACUUUUACUGUGAAAAAAUUAGAGUGUUCAAAGCAGGC